GACGAACGCUGGCGGCGUGCUUAACACAUGCAAGUCGAACGGAAAGGCCCUGCUUUUGUGGGGUGCUCGAGUGGCGAACGGGUGAGUAACACGUGAGUAACCUGCCCUUGACUUUGGGAUAACUUCAGGAAACUGGGGCUAAUACCGGAUAGGAGCUCCUGCUGCAUGGUGGGGGUUGGAAAGUUUCGGCGGUUGGGGAUGGACUCGCGGCUUAUCAGCUUGUUGGUGGGGUAGUGGCUUACCAAGGCUUUGACGGGUAGCCGGCCUGAGAGGGUGACCGGCCACAUUGGGACUGAGAUACGGCCGAGACUCCUACGGGAGGCAGCAGUGGGGAAUAUUGCACAAUGGGCGGAAGCCUGAUGCAGCAACGCCGCGUGCGGGAUGAAGGCCUUCGGGGUGUAAACCGCUUUCGCCUGUGACGAAGCGUGAGUGACGGGAAUGGGUAAAGAAGCACCGGCUAACUACG
rnacentral:rRNA from 1 species